rnacentral:rRNA from 1 species
GCCAGCAGCUAUAUUACCCUGCAAUUCACAAAUGACAACCCACUGAAGCUCAGCGGGUAUGAGUCUGGUCAGUACCUGGAUGGGAGACCUCCUGGGAAAAACUAAGGCUGCUGCUGGAA